ensembl:lncRNA
CGGAAGUUUAUACAUGAGAGGGUUUGGUAGCCUGUACAUCUAUAGGUUAACUAAUGAGGUAAAGGUAUGGCGGAAGUUUAUACAUGAGAGGGUUUGGUAGCCCGUACAUGAAGGCUUUUAUAGACAAAAAGGUUGAGGGGACUUCAAGGAAGGUCAGCCUACUUUCUGAUACAAAAUGCAAUAAUGUGUACUGAACCUAUCGCCCGUAAUAAAGCACAAUGCUCUGUGAUAAACUGUGUCCAGUACAGUGGCAGCUGCAUUCAUAUAGGCAUGUUCAGAAUUGUUUUCUGCUAUUUAACGAAAGAGAGGACCUGUUCCUAUAGAAUAAACCUAUUUUAAUUCUUAAUUUCUUAACUAGCCAGCUGUGGGGACAAUAGCUAACACCACAGUUUCAUCUGCAUACAGGUGAAAGUACAAUUUUUUUUUUUUUUUUUUUUUUUUUACAGAUAAACCAAUAUUGUUAAUGAAAAUAGUCAAAAGAACCGGACCAAGAAUCGAUCCCUGUGGGACACCCUUUGUUAUAUCCAGAUUUAACUCCAUCAGUUAAUACACACUGGGUUAUUUAAAUCAUUUUCAAACCAGCUACACACAGCCUGGUCCAGUCCAAUUUAUGAAAGCCUCUGAAUGAGUAAUAGGUAUGGACUUUAGACAGGUCAAUAAAAAGGGCUGAAACAAUGUUUCUUCUUAUCCAAACAAUCAAGACACAAUUGAAUACCAAAGAAGUAGCAGAGAUGGUACUAUAACCUGGUCUUAAAGCCUGACUGGUGUACAUUUAGAAUACAUUUUGUAGUUAACAAGUUGAGUAUUUACCAAGGAUUCUAGAAUUUUUGCAAAAGAGUUUGGAAAUGGGGCAACAAGGUCACCACCCUUGUGAAGGGGGAAUAUAUGGGCCGGCCGCCUUCCAGACCCUAGGGAUGGUAUCAUGUGUGAAAGAUUUUGCAAUCAGGAUCAGAUAUUUGCAGCAAGAAAGUAUAAAGCAAAUCAACCCCAGUGGAUUUUUGUUUUACAUACAUCUUGUGUUAAUA